AGCUUUCAGUUUAUCAUUAACUGUCGGGAGUGAUUGGAAACCUAUCAAAUUCUUUUGCUUUUAAUAUGGGUGGUUGUUGCAGUACGAGGAAAUCCGUUGACUUACCAACUGUACCACCCGCUACUGGUAAACCUAAUUCAAGGGAUUACCCAGCUACCGGGGUUACUACAACUGGAAAUCCCGGCACAAAUAUCGGUAGCACAAAUUUGGCGUUAGAGGAAGAUUAAAAGAAUUGUGCUAUAACCUUGAAAGAUAUUGUUUAAAUUUAAGCCUUUAUAUAAGUAUGUAGCUAAAUCUAAAUUUAAUAUGUACAUAAAUAGUACAUUAAAUAAAUUAUGUUAUGUUCGAACAUAAGUGUGAUUUUCCAAAUGUUCAUAUUGGUUUAUAUAUUUUAUCAAAUACUAUUAUGGGUUUUAUAUAUACAUAAUGCAUAUAUGAUAAUAUGGUUGACUCACAGUCAUUAAGUUGUGUGCACAUAUGUAUAUUGCUAGGUAUAACACGUGUAGAGGUAGUGGCAUUUGUAAAACUAAAAAAUUUAUAUUAAACGCAAAAAUAAAUAAAAAUUCCAAUAUGCUUACUAAUCAA